rnacentral:lncRNA from 1 species
GGCUGGGGUUUAGGGCUAGGGACUCCCGAGGCCCCUUAACCCCUUAAAGCCUGGGGGAAAGGGAGAGCCUGAAGGCUGAAGGAAGAGGGGAAGGUGUGCAUAGGGGCCAGGGGCAGAGAUGCAGGUUCAGGGAUUAAGAGCAUGAAGUGAGAAGGAAGAGCAAAGGCAGAACAACAGGGGCUCCAUUCCUGGCUGCAGCACUCCAAGUCGGCUGAACCUCUCGCAUCUGGAUCUUCUUCUGGACCUCAGUUUUCUUCAUUGUCUAGCUCUUAAUGGGACAGGCAGCUCCGCCAUGGCCUCUUAGAGCUCUGCACUGCCAUGAGAAAGGUUAACUACCUGCUAGAGUGACCACCUGAAGAAGCCUUGAAUUUACAUGGAGAGGAAGAGGGACCCUGCUGACUUCAGCAUCCCCAUCAUCUUCACUAUGGUGCCAGGUAUCCAAGUAAAACCAUCCUGAUGCCCCAGAUUGGUUCAAGCAUCAGACACAUACCACGGAAUAGUUCCAGUCACUCUGACUCCAUGGAUCACUGAGUCCUUCCUGAAUAUUUGACCUACAAAUCUGUAGAAAAAGAAAUGGUCAUUGGGGAAAGUUUGCGAUGUAACCAUACACAACCAGCUCAGUCCAACCAAAACAAAAAAAGGGCCUGGGAUUUAGCUCAGUGGUUCUCGCGCCUGUCUCACAAGCAGAAGGAUCCGAGUUCCAUCCCUGGUACUAAAACAACAAAGCAAACAAACAAACCAAACACAACCAGCUCAGUCCAAGAGGCAGAAUCUUUGUGCUAAGAAUGUUGCAGCCACUGAUCCAGCUCUGGCCUGGCUAUCUCUAUGUUCUUGUUAAAUGUGAAAAAUAAACCUAGUUUGCUUAAGCCUGGAUGGCACCUUGGGCUACUGCUAGGGGCCUCAGUUUUCCUGCCAUUGAUAAGUGAACAUUUGGCUCCUCCUUAUUAUCUCUCAAGGGUUAUUAUCCCUGAGAAGGUGGAGUAAGAAUCAAGAAGAAAAAGGCUUUUUCAUUAAUAUAAACAGUGCUUCUGUCCCACAAGACCAGUUAACAACACGCUUGAACAUUCAUUAUAUAUUUAGUGUGCUCAUAAUGGGGUGUGAGCCCUGUCACAGACCAACUGCAGUGGAUUUGGGAAUUAGACACAUCAGGGCUGGUG